UACGUAGGGUGCAAGCGUUGUCCGGAAUUAUUGGGCGUAAAGAGCUCGUAGGCGGUCUGUCGCGUCGGCUGUGAAAACUCGGGGCUCAACCCCGAGCCUGCAGUCGAUACGGGCAGACUAGAGUGCAGUAGGGGAGACUGGAAUUCCUGGUGUAGCGGUGAAAUGCGCAGAUAUCAGGAGGAACACCGGUGGCGAAGGCGGGUCUCUGGACAGUUCCUGACGCUGAGGCACGAAGGCCAGGGGAGCAAACGGG
rnacentral:rRNA from 1 species